rnacentral:tRNA from 1 species
GGGCAUAUAGCACACUGGUAGAGUGCCUGCCUAGCAUGCACGAGGUCCUGGGUUUAGUCCCCAGUACCUCCA